UGGUUAAACUUAACUGACCUCUUAUUUCUG
rnacentral:piRNA from 1 species